CCGGGAUUGAGCCCGGAAUGUGCCGGGAUUGAGCCUGGAAUGUGCCGGGAUUGAGCCCGCAAUGUGCCGGGAUUGAGCCCGGAAUGUGCCGGGAUUGAGCCCGCAAUGUGCCGGGAUUGAGCCUGGAUUACACCCGGGAUACACCCAGAUUGCUCCAGGACGGCGAGCACGGACUCAGGGGAUGUUGUCGGAAAGUGCCUUCCGCCUUGGAAUGGACAAACUCACUGUUAAAGGACUCUAUAUACAGGAUAAUUAUAUACGGGCAUGGCAAGCUGUUUAUGGAUUCUGUCAUCCAACCAUGCUACUGUGGCUUAGGCCUUGAAGUGUUUUGCUGCUUGUGACUGCUGAUGAGAAAUGUACUGCAAAAUCCUCGGAUGAUCAGUUCGCAGGAGCAUUUCCUCAUCACACACACACUGCGCACUGAUCAGCUCCCAGGGAGAAAGGAGGAACACCUGAGGAGAGCUGGGGAACAGGGUGAGAUUGAGGGUACUCACGGGGCUAGAAUUGAAGCCUUUGAGGUUUCAAAGCCUUUAAGGCACUGCAGCACUGCAGGGACCUCCUGUGGUCAGUGGAAACAAGGCACUGCACCCAGCCCUGGGGAUGGGGCACGAUGGCCAGAGGGCUUCCUGCUGCACCUGGUCCUGUCCAGCUGCACAGCACAGGGGUGUCAGCCUUGGGAAAUUCUCACAGACACGAGGCUGAGAAAUUACUCUGGGACUGGGAGGUCCCCACUGAAAAGAAUGGAGAAGCUUGAUGCAAGCAAAACCCACUUCCUUGUCCCACCCUUCCUCAGAAAUGCCCCAAAUGCAAAGAUACAGCUCACAGCUCAUUGCACUAACAGAGAAGUGUUACUCCCACUGCUUUCAGCUUUGCUGCAUGUUACGUGA
rnacentral:lncRNA from 1 species